rnacentral:rRNA from 1 species
UACGUAGGGUGCAAGCGUUACUCGGAAUUACUGGGCGUAAAGCGUGCGCAGGCGGUUUUGUAAGCCAGAUGUGAAAUCCCCGGGCUUAACCUGGGAAUGGCAUUUGGGACUGCAAGGCUUGAGUGCGGCAGAGGAGACUGGAAUUCCUGGUGUAGCAGUGAAAUGCGUAGAUAUCAGGAGGAAUACCGAUGGCGAAGGCAGGUCUCUGGGCUGACACUGACGCUCAUGCACGAAAGCGUGGGGAGCAAACAGG